UGCCAGCCGCCGCGGUAAUACGGAGGGUGCAAGCGUUGUUCGGAAUUAUUGGGCGUAAAGCGCGUGUAGGCGGUUCGUUAAGUCUGAUGUGAAAGCCCGGGGCUUAACCGAGGAGGGUGAUUUGAAACUGGUAGACUUGAGUACGGCAGAGGUUAGUGGAAUUCAAUGUGUAGCGGUGGAAUGCGUAGAUAUAUUGAGGAACACCAGUGGCGAAGGCGGCUAACUGGACCGGAACUGACGCUGAGGCACGAAAGCGUGGGGAGCAAACAGGAUUAGAUA
rnacentral:rRNA from 1 species